GAGGAAGUUUCUUGGGCUUCUUUUCCAAGUUUGGGUAGGAUUUAGGUGUAAAUGGAUAGGGCUUAGGUGGAUAAGAUAGGUAUCUACUUAAUUUAUGUGUAAAAGGUACAAAAUCUUUCCAAAACAGCCAAUUUUGCUCUCCCAAACAUGCUACAUGUUUUCUAACAUUAAUGAAGGCUUCUUAGACUAUUCUUUCUUCACUUGGAUAGGAUUUAGGUACAAG
rnacentral:misc_RNA from 1 species